rnacentral:rRNA from 1 species
UAGUCCACGCCGUAAACGAUGAUAACUAGCUGUCCGAACCCACAGGGUUUGGGUGGCGCAGCUAACGCAUUAAGUUAUCCGCCUGGGGAGUACGGUCGCAAGAUUAAAACUCAAAGGAAUUGACGGGGGCCUGCACAAGCGGUGGAGCAUGUGGUUUAAUUCGACGCAACGCGCAGAACCUUACCAGCUUUUGACAUCCUGGUCGCGGAUUUGGGAGACCAUUUCCUUCAGUUCGGCUGGACCAGUGACAGGUGCUGCAUGGCUGUCGUCAGCUCGUGUCGUGAGAUGUUGGGUUAAGUCCCGCAACGAGCGCAACCCUCAUCCUUAGUUGCCAGCAUUUAGUUGGGCACUCUAAGGAAACUGCCGGUGUAAGCGUGGAGGAAGGUGGGGACGACGUCAAAUCAUCAUGGCCUUUAUGCCUAGGGCUACACACGUGCUACAAUGGUAGAUACAGAGGGUUGCCAAGCCGCGAGGUGGAGCUAAUCCCAUAAAGUCUAUCCCAGUUCGG